UACGAAGGGGGCUAGCGUUGUUCGGAUUUACUGGGCGUAAAGCGCACGUAGGCGGAUUGUUAAGUCAGGGGUGAAAUCCCGGAGCUCAACUCCGGAACUGCCUUUGAUACUGGCAAUCUAGAGUCCGGAAGAGGUGAGUGGAACUCCUAGUGUAGAGGUGGAAUUCGUAGAUAUUAGGAAGAACACCAGUGGCGAAGGCGGCUCACUGGUCCGGUACUGACGCUGAGGUGCGAAAGCGUGGGGAGCAAACAGG
rnacentral:rRNA from 1 species